GAUGAACGCUGGCGGCGUGCCUAAUACAUGCAAGUCGAGCGAACGGACGAGAAGCUUGCUUUUCUGAUGUUAGCGGCGGACGGGUGAGUAACACGUGGAUAACCUACCUAUAAGACUGGGAUAACUUCGGGAAACCGGAGCUAAUACCGGAUAAUAUUUUGAACCGCAUGGUUCAAUAGUGAAAGACGGUCUUGCUGUCACUUAUAGAUGGGUCCGCGCUGCAUUAGCUAGUUGGUAAGGUAACGGCUUACCAAGGCAACGAUGCAUAGCCGACCUGAGAGGGUGAUCGGCCACACUGGAACUGAGACACGGUCCAGACUCCUACGGGAGGCAGCAGUAGGGAAUCUUCCGCAAUGGGCGAAAGCUUGACGGAGCAACGCCGCGUGAGUGAUGAAGGUCUUCGGAUCGUAAAACUCUGUUAUUAGGGAAGAACAUAUGUGUAAGUAACUGUGCACAUCUUGACGGUACCUAAUCAGAAAGCCACGGCUAACUACGUG
rnacentral:rRNA from 1 species